rnacentral:rRNA from 1 species
GACGAACGCUGGCGGCGUGCUUAACACAUGCAAGUCGAACGGAAAGGCCCUGCUUUUGUGGGGUGCUCGAGUGGCGAACGGGUGAGUAACACGUGAGUAACCUGCCCUUGACUUUGGGAUAACUUCAGGAAACUGGGGCUAAUACCGGAUAGGAGCUCCUGCUGCAUGGUGGGGGUUGGAAAGUUUCGGCGGUUGGGGAUGGACUCGCGGCUUAUCAGCUUGUUGGUGGGGUAGUGGCUUACCAAGGCUUUGACGGGUAGCCGGCCUGAGAGGGUGACCGGCCAAAUUGGGACUGAGAUACGGCCCAGACUCCUACGGGAGGCAGCAGUGGGGAAUAUUGCACCAUGGGCGGAAGCCUGAUGCAGCAACGCCGCGUGCGGGAUGACGGCCUUCGGGUUGUAAACCGCUUUCGCCUGUGACGAAGCGUGAGUGACGGUAAUGGGUAAAGAAGCACCGGCUAACUACGUG